rnacentral:rRNA from 1 species
UUCUUUUAGGUUUUUUUAAAGGUAAUUUCUGCCCUAUGAUUAAUUUUAAAUGGCUGCAGUAUAUUGACUGUACAAAGGUAGCAUAAUAAUUAGUUUUUUAAUUGAGGACUGGAAUGAAAGGAUAAAUGAAGGGUUUUUUUUAUUAAUUUUAUUAUUUGAAUUUUAUUUUUUGGUAAAAAAGCUAAAGCUUGUUUUAGGGACGAGAAGACCCUAUAGAACUUUAAAUUUAAGUUUAUUUAUUUUAUUUAGUUUUAUUUAAAUAUAAAUUGAUUAAUAUUUUUAAUUGGGGUGAUUGGUAAAUUUAUUUAACUUUAUUUUUUUAAUUCAUUUAUUUAUGUGGAAUUGAUCCCUAAUAGGGAGUAUAAGUUAAGUUACCUUAGGGAUAACAGCGUAAUUUAAAUUUGAAGUUCUUAUUUAUAUUUAAGUUUGCGACCUCGAUGUUGAAUUAAGAUAAGUUUAGGGUGCAGGUGCUUUAAUUUUUAGUCUGUUCGACUAU